GGCAAGUCCGAGCGGACACAAGGGAGCUUGCUCCCGGAUGUUAACGGCGGACGGGUGAGUAACACGUGGGUAACCUGCCUGUAAAACUGGGAUAACUCCGGGAAACCGGAGCUAAUACCGGAUAGUUCCUUGAACCGCAUGGUUCAGGGAUGAAAGACGGUUUCUGCUGUCACUUACAGAUGGACCCGCGGCGCAUUAACUAGUUGGUGAGGUAACGGCUCACCAAGGCGACGAUGCGUACCCGACCUGAGAGGGUGAUCGGCCACACUGGGACUGAGACACGGCCCAGACUCCUACGGGAGGCAGCAAUAGGGAAUCUUCCGCAAUGGACGAAAGUCUGACGGAGCAACGCCGCGUGAGUGAUGAAGGUUUUCGGAUCGUAAAGCUCUGUUGUUAAGGAAAAACAAGUGCAAGAGUAACUGCUUGCACCUUGACGGUACCUAACCAGAAAGCCACGGCUAACUACGUGCCAGCAGCCGCGGUAAUACGUAGGUGGCAAGCGUUGUCCGGAAUUAUUGGGCGUAAAGGGCUCGCAGGCGGUUUCUUAAGUCUGAUGUGAAAGCCCCCGGCUCAACCGGGGAGGGUCAUUGGAAACUGGGAAACUUGAGUGCAGAAGAGGAGAGUGGAAUUCCACGUGUAACGGUGAAAUGCAUAUAGAUGUGGAGGAACACCAAUGGCGAACGCGACUCUCUGGUCUGUAACUGACGCUGAAGAGCGAGAGCGUGGGGAGCGAACAGGAUUAAAUACCUUCGAUAGUCC
rnacentral:rRNA from 1 species